ACAUUUUGGGAAAUACAUACCCUAAAAUUGGAAUGAUAUAGACGAUUCACAUGCUCCAUGCACAAGGAUGACAUGGAAAUUUGUGAAGCAUACCAUAUUUCU